UGUCUGUCCACACACUAUCCACGAUCGGGGAGACAGUGAUUUUCAGCUGUGAGGAGAGUUACCCGGAACCGGAAAGUUGCACAUAAAUAUACAUCAAAAAUGUAGAUAAUUGCGAAAUUUUUGCAAAAAUGUGUGUACAAAGAUUUCUUCAUGAAUUGGAGAGUCCGACAGAGAGAAAGCUAUGAUAUUAUGGCAAAAGUUUUAGUCAAAAGUGCAGUAUCAGUUUGAUAAAAAAUUUGCAAUAAUUAAUUAAUUUUUGCCAAUAUGGAGCGAUUGUGUUUGAUAUUUUGCAUUUUCCUGACCCACUGCUACGCCAGCGAGGAGGAUGAGACGUCAAGUUCAAAAUUAAAUCAUACCAAGGACCAUGGCUUGCACAUUGCGAAAUUUGAUUUCGAACUGGUCCAAACUCCAUAUCUCAUCGCACUUUGGAUACUUGCGGCUAGUGUGGCGAAAAUUGGCUUCCACCUUGCCCCCUCGCUCAACACGAUAUUUCCCGAGUCAUGCCUGCUCAUCUUCGUGGGUCUCAUUGUGGGUGGGGUGCUCGCGUUUGUCGGCGAAAAUCCGAUGAGCCUCACCCCCCACACUUUCUUCAACUUUAUGCUUCCCCCAAUUAUCCUGGAUGCGGGUUAUUUUAUGCCAAAUCGUCUCUUUUUCGAUAACCUCGGUACCAUUUUACUCUUCGCCGUGGUGGGGACGUUAUGGUCCACGUUUGCCGUUGCGGGGUCCCUGUGGGGGUUGUCAUCCUGGAUGGGCGGGUUUGGGGGGAAGGAACUCCCCAUAUUGCAGUGCCUUUUGUUCAGCGCGCUAAUCUCGGCGGUGGACCCGGUCGCUGUGUUGGCCGUGUUUGAAGAAAUCCAUGUGAACGAGUUGCUCUAUAUUGUGGUUUUUGGAGAGUCCCUGCUCAACGAUGCCGUCACGGUGGCUCUGUACGAAGUCUUUGAGGAAUACGCCAUCAUGGGACCUGAUAAUGUCUCAGCUUUCGAAAUCCUCAAAGGAUUCGGAAAGUUCCCCGUCGUCGCGUUGGGUGGGACGUUUAUUGGGAUUGUGGCGGGACUAGCGAUCGGUUUUGUGACCCGGUUAACCACCAAUACGAGGGUCAUGGAACCUCUAGUCAUAUUCGUGAUGGCUUAUCUGGCUUACUUAUCGGCGGAAAUGUUUCACUUGUCGGGAAUUAUGGCGGCCACCUUUUGCGGGUUAACCAUGAAGAACUAUGUGCGAGCCAACAUUUCUCAAAAAUCCUUAACCACUUUGAAAUAUUCCAUGAAAAUGCUGAGUUCCGGGGCGGAAACGAUAAUUUUUAUCUUCCUCGGAGUCUCCACCGUGAACGGGGAUCACGUCUGGAACACGACUUUUGUCGUGGCUACGAUUUCCUUUUGCACGCUGUACCGCGCCGUGGGGACUUUCGCCCUCUCCUGGAUUGCCAACCAUUUCCGUCUCGAGCCAAUCGGUGGCGUGGAUCAGUUUGUGGUCGCGUAUGGCGGACUGCGCGGCGCGGUUGCGGUCGCAUUGGUGCUAUUAAUUGACAAAAAUGCGACCCUGUUUGACGAAAAGUUGAGAAGCAUGAUGGUCACGACGACGAUUGCGGUAAUUUACUUCACGGUGUUUGUGCAGGGAAUGACGAUAAAACCGAUUGUUGAGUGGUUACAUGUAACAAAAUCGGAGAAAAGGAAACCCACGAUGAAUGAAAGGGUGCAUGAAAAGACCAUGGAACACUUAAUGACUGGCAUGGAAAGCAUUGCGGGUCACAUGGGGAAAUACAAUUUACGUGCGAAGCUUCGAGCCAUAAAUGACUCCUACAUAAAACCAUACCUCCAAAGGUGUGAGAACGGAGUGGACGCGAAGGACACGAAAAUACUGGAGACGUAUUCCAAAUUGAUGAUGGAGGAUAUGAAAACUGUGACCAUAAUGGGACCUGGAGGGAAGCAGUUGAGACAUCAGGACUCAGUAAUGCGGGCAAAAAAGAGACUUCACAUUGAUGACGGGAUUGGUACUAGUGAUACGAAUGAAGACCAAGCACCGGAUGUCGUCAAAAUGGACGAACUGCUCGAGAAAGGAUUACAAGAGAAAAAUGCGUAUCGCCGUUGCAGCUACAGCCGGCACUCCCUUCAAGACACGGAUGCCCAAGCCAUGCUGGAUUUAAGGCUCAAUUUGAAAUCAGCGCCAGCGCGAAAGAAGGGCGAACUGGCUAAAAUGCGACAAUGGAAAACAGUGGAUGUCGAAGAUGACGGAGCACACUGCUCAAUGCUGCUACAACGAAGAUGUUCCGAAGGAGGUCAAUCAUCUACGACGGACUUAAACAAAAAAACUCCGAAGAAAGAAGCUGGUCGACCCCCACGAAGUGCGCCACCUGUCGGAAAAAGCUCCGUAUCGCAAUUCAAGUUCGAUACUGCCUCCUCAAUUCCGGAAGACGAUGAAGAAAACGUUUUCGAAGAUGGUCCUGGUGCUAUGAAACGUUCUGGUUCUCUGGGAAAUAUUAAUUAAAUUAUAGCAAAAAUUUCCAUGAAAAUUACGGUGCUUAUGUAUGAAUAAGAAUUUAUUCCUUUAAUUUGUUUUCGUUCCAAAGAUUGAGCUUCCUUUGCAAAAGAGUGAUUUUAUAGACUCAAAUAGGACACAAAUAAUGAUAAUAGUUCUUAGCUGAUUUAUUCAGCCAGCCAGGUGUGAUUACUAAUGAUAUUUUAACAAGUAUAGUCGAAUGUUACGAUUGUAGCAUUUAGAUUAAAAACUAUCAAGCAUCGUUGUUAAGAGUUUGUGUACUGUAAAACUUGACAAGUUCAUAUUAACAAGUACGAAAUAUAACAUAAAAAUUCCAGAUUGACAACGAUAAAUGAAGAUCAUUAAUAAUAGACGGGUAUGAGGCUUGUCAUAGUAAGCAUGUGUAUGGUACCAAAUAGUCAAUUGUUCUAGAAAAAUGACAGUACAUACAUAUAUACGUCACAAAUUAUUCAAAAGAAAGAAUAAAAAUUAUUCGCUUAGUAA